rnacentral:rRNA from 1 species
UUUACCAAGAUUGUUUAAUUGUAUCUUUUCUGCUUAAAAAUCUAUUUAUAUAGGUUAUUUUUUUUCUAAUAGUUUAUUUUAAUUAAUUUUGUUUUAAAUUAAUUUAAUUUUUAUUGUGCCAGCUUUUGCGGUUAUACAUUAGAUUUAGGGAGAAGUUGAUUAAACAUAGUAUAUUUUUUAAGAAUUUUGAGUAAAAUUUUAAUUUUAAGUUUUUUUGUAGAAAGAGAAAUAAAUAGAACCAGGAUUAGGUACCCUGUUACAAAAUAAAGAAGGUAUUAAUUUAUUAAACCUUAGCCAUUUGACGGCUAUUAUUCUUUUAGAGGAACUUGUUGCUUAAAUUGAUAGCCCACUUUUUUACCCUUUUUUGUUCGUAUACUGCUGUAACCAAAUUUAAUACAUUUUUGUUUUUUUAAUCAGAUCAGGUCAAUGUUCGGUUUAAUAGGGGGUUAAUGAGUUACUUUUAUUCAGAUUUUUCGAUAGGAUUUAUUUUUAAAUUUGUUUAAUUAAUUUUUUUUCUUUUUGAAAAGUAAGUUUUAGUGUACAUAUCGCCCGUCGUUCUUUAAAGACAAGUCGUAACAAAGUAGAUCCUCCUGAAGGAGGAUCUAGUUA